AAAAGAACCUCUUCAUUAAGGAUUAAAAUGUAUAGAUAAAGAAAAUCUCAGAUAAAUGACAAUAUGACCUCCAAGCAAACAAAGGCACGUGUAACUUCGACUUCAAGAUUUCUGAAUCCAUAUGUAGUAUGUUUCAUUGUCGUCGCAGGGGUAGUGAUCCUGGCAGUCACCAUAGCUCUACUUGUUUACUUUUUAGCUUUUGAUCAAAAAUCUUACUUUUAUAGGAGCAGUUUUCAACUCCUAAAUGUUGAAUAUAAUAGUCAGUUAAAUUCACCAGCUACACAGGAAUACAGGACUUUGAGUGGAAGAAUUGAAUCUCUGAUUACUAAAACAUUCAAAGAAUCAAAUUUAAGAAAUCAGUUCAUCAGAGCUCAUGUUGCCAAACUGAGGCAAGAUGGUAGUGGUGUGAGAGCGGAUGUUGUCAUGAAAUUUCAAUUCACUAGAAAUAACAAUGGAGCAUCAAUGAAAAGCAGAAUUGAGUCUGUUUUACGACAAAUGCUGAAUAACUCUGG
rnacentral:lncRNA from 1 species